UUCGAAGAUUGAAUUGACUUUAUUAAAUAAUUCAUGAAUCAGGUAGCAUUUCAUCUGGCAAUAGAGAGAUAGUUCAAGUGACAACAGAUUCUCAUUGACUGGGCUGCAGUGUUUUCCAUUGGUUGUGCUUAUUGCUGGGCAAGAAGGAAGUCUUCCCCUUACUGGAGUAGUAAAGUAGUUGCACUUCCUGUUUGGGAUUGUAAGGCACAUCUCUUCCUCUUGAGGUUGGUAACUGAUGCUUCUUCCUGUUGGGGUCUGUAAUUGACAUCUUCCUGUUUGGGGUAAUUGAGUGGUAGGACAUGAGAGCUCCCUCUACAGGCCUUCCUGACUCCAAUUUUAUUUGAGAUUUCCUUUAUUAAUUUUAACACUGCCCUCUAAUGACCCCAAAGCCAGUCUCCUUUCUCUGCUCUCUUAACCCAUUUUUAGACCUCCUUGGGAAGUUUCCAGGCUCUCCCCAGAAAUCUUCAUAUGUAAAUAAUAAAUCUUUUCAUCUUCUCUUGGUGUGUGAUGUCAUCAAUCUUGACGUUUGAACCAAAUUUUGGCUGGAGGUGUUCAACCUACCAUCACAACACAGAUAACUUAGCUAUUGGAGUUAUCAGACAAGGAUUUAAAAAUAACUAGUAUAAUAGAAUACAAAAAGAAUAUGUAGAAAAAGAUGGACAAAAUGAAUGAAAAGAUGGAGAAUUUCUACAGAGAAUUGGAAUUUAUAAAUAUUCAAAUAGACAUUCAAGAACUGAAAAAAUUUGGUAUCUGAGAUUAAGAAUUCAUUGAGUGGAUUUAAUGGCAACCUAAACACAGGAGAUGAUAGGAUUAGUGAGCUGAAAGACAGGUAUAUAGAAAAUACUCAAACUGAAGCACAGAGAGAGAAAACAAUUAAAAUAACAGAUCAGAGUAUAAGACAGAUAAUGGAACACAGUCAGAGGUCUAACAUACAUAUCACUGGAUUCCCAGAAACAGAGGAGGGAAAGAGAAUAUGGCAAGUGAAAUCUGAAGAGCUAAAGGACAAGAAUUUUCAAAAUCAGAUAAAGACAUCAACUCACGGAUUCGCAAAGCUCAGUCAAUCCCAAGGAAAAGAAAUACAAAGAAAAUCACACAUAGGCACAUCAUCGUCAAACUGAAAAUAAGACAAGCAGCCGGAAAGAUAAAACACGUGACAUUCAAAGUAGCAACGAUGAGUUGUGGCUGAUUUGUCAACUGUAACUAUGAAACCAGAAGACGAUGGGAUGGCAUCUUUGCAGAAAGAAAAGUUGUGUAGCCAGCAUAAAUUUUCUUCAAAAAUAAGGGCAAUUCAUGCUUCUAUUUCCAUUCCCUUUCUUUCUCUACCCGCCCUGAACAGUUUGGUUCUAAAGCUAUUAGGUAUUUAGAAAAUACGCUUUAAAUAUAGGACAUAGAAAGGUAAAAAAUAAAAAGAUGAUAAAAGUUAUAUCAUGCAAAUACUCACCAAAUAAAAGGUGUGGCUCUAUUGAUAUCAAACAAAAUAGACCUUAGAGCCAGAAGUGGUAGUAAGGGAAGUAAAGAGCGACGUUUCAUAAUGAUGAAAGGGUUAAUUCAACGGAAGAUGUAACAAUCGUAAAUGUGUAUGCACCUAAUAACAGAGCUACACAAUACACGAAAUAGAGUAUUUCCAGAAUAAAAGAGACAAAUAGGCAAGUCUGUAGUCAUAGCUGGAGAUUUUUAACAAAUCUCUCAGCAACUGAUAGAAAAAGGAGAUGAAAGAUGUAAAAGUAUAUAGAAAAUAUGAACAGCAGAAUGAAUCAACUUGACUUAAUAAACAGUUACAGAGGGCUGCACCCCGCAAGGGGCGAACACACUUCCUUUUCGAGGGCAUAGUUACCAAAAUAGAACAUGUGCUGGGCCAUAAAGCAAGUCUUAACAAACUUCCAAAGGUGAAAUCAUGCCGGGUGUGAUCUCUGACCAAAGUGGAAUUAAACUAGAAAUGAACAAGAGAAAGAUUCUUAGAAACCCCAAACGUUUGGAUGUGAAACAGAACACUUGUAAAUAACCCGUGGCUCAAGGAAGAAACCACACAGGAGAAUAGAAAAUACUUUGAACAGAAUGAAAAUCAAAAUACUGCAUACAAAUGCCUGAGGCAAAUAGGCAAAGCAGUGAUUAGAAAGAAAUUUAUACCUUUAAAUGCAUACGUUACACGAGAAAAUAGUUUAAAGACAGUUAUCUAAAUUUGAACAGCAACUUAAACCCAAGGAAAAAAGAAAGAAGGAAAUAAUAAAAAUAGGAAUCCAAAUCAAUGAAAUACAAAGCAGAUAUACAACAGAGAAGAUCAACAAAGCAAAAAGUUUGGUUAUUAAAAAAAUGAUGAAAUUGAUAAACUCCCAGAUAAAAGAAAAACAAAAUAAGUCACCAAUAUGAGCAACAAAAAAGAUCCUGCAGAUGUAAGAAGAUAAAAAGAGAUUAUUAUCAAAAAACUUUAUGCCAGCAAAUUUAAAAACUUCGACUAAAUUUCAAUGGAGUUGAGUUUAUUUUUCCUUUCGUUACCUGCACUUUUGGUGUCAAAUCCAUGACAUUGUUGCAAAAUUCAAUGUCAAGAAGAUUUUCCCCUAUGUUUUCUUAGAAGAAUUUUAAAGUUUUAGCUCUUAAGUUUGUGUCUUUGAUCCAUAUUGAGUUACUUUUUGUGUAUAGUGUUAGGUAAGAGGUCCAACUUCUUCGGCAUGGGGAUAUCCAGUUUUCCCAGCAUCAUUUGUUAGAAAGACUGUCCUUUCUCCACUGAACGAUCUUGGCACCCUUAUCAAAAAUCAACUGACCAUACAUGGGAGGGUUUAUUUCUGGGCUCUCUAUUAUAUUCCAUUGGUCUAUAUGAUCAUCCUUAGGCCAGUAUGUUUUAAUUACUGUAGUUUUGUAGUAAGUUUUGAAAUCAGAAAGUGUGGGGUCCUCAACCUAAUUCUUCUUUUUCAGGAUUGUUUUGACUAUUGGAGGUCCCUUGCAAUGCCAUAUGCAUCUGAGGAUCAGCUUUUCCAUUUCUGUGGAGAAUGCUCUUAGAAUUUUAAUAGGGAUUGCAUUGAGUUUGUACGUAGCUUUGGAUCAUGUCUGUAAUCUUUGAAACACGUAGAAUGGUGUUAUCUAUUAUUUAUGGGUGAACACAUGUGUGGGAAGAAUAAAACCGUGGACACAGCAAAGUCGAGAUGGUGCUUUCCUCUAGCAGGGAAAGAGUUAAUUAAGCUUAGGAAGGGAAAAGGAACUGAGAAGGCAAACACAUGGGACUUCAAUUAUACCUGUAGGCUUUCAUGCCUUUAAAAAAAAAUUGGAAGCAAACUUCGUUAAAAUUAUCACUACCGAGCAGGUGGUAAAUGGAUGUGUGCUAUUUUGCUCUCUACACUGUUCUGUAGUUUUGAAAUUUCUCAUUAUAGAAAAGAAAGAUGAAAUGAGCGUCCUUGACAAGCUGGAGGAGCAGACUUAGUAGGUGGCGGAGGGCUGGAAGAGUGGGAGGUGGCGAGGUGAGCAUGGGAGGUCAGGACUUCAGAGUCCAGGUGGGGCUGCACCGUGGGAGCGGCCCAGCCCGCCUGAAGCCCGGCGGGUGGAUACUAGGCAGCGUGCUCCUGAAAGGCUCUCUCCUGUCCUGCUGCACUCCGUCUGCCUCCCUUGUACUGUCACCUCUCUGACCUGUCCAUCAGGAGCUUAUCUACCGAGUUGAGUUUAAACACAGGUGGGACUUGGCUCUGAUCACGUGUCUCCUCUCAUCUGUGUCACCUCCCAGGUUAAAGCCAAGGGGAAUGAAGUCUAGAGAGAGUCAGAGUGUUGCCCAAGUAUUCACCAGACGUAUGAACUGAGCUCUUUCCAUGGUGUCAGAUAGCUUCUCUGCAUUGGGGAAGGCUCGCAAGAGAACGUGGAACUGUAUUUGCUCAGAAUUCUGGGAUCAGCGAGCCGUCUGAUGUAUGAGGAGGAAGGUGUUUAGAGCUGAUGCCAGUCAGGAGCUUCUGCAAACCCAGGGUUGGGUUGUGCCUUGCAAAGGAAGCUUCCAGCUGGAGGGUAUAAGGCACUCCAGGAAUAAGGAUGAAGGGUGCUUGUGUCCACUGGAGCACUCUGCCAGGUGUGAAAGAUACGCACGAAUCACUAAUUGAUUAACUGCAAAAUCACUAGGCAAUGAGUGGCUCCACGUGCAUGAUUAUGGUAUACAGAAUAAUGUCCCCCCAAAGAUGUCCACAUCCUAGUCCACAGAAUCUGUGAGUAUGGGACCUUACAGGGCAAAAUGGACUUUGCAGGUGACAAUGGAAGAAAAGGUUGGAGUGAUGUGCUGUGAAGAUGGAGGAAGGGGCCACAAGCCAAGGAAGGUAGGCGGCUUCUAGAAGCAGGAAAAGACAAGGAAAUGGAUUCUCCCCUGCAGCCUCGAGAGGGAGUGUGGCUCCGCCAAGCCCUUGAUUUGGCCCACUGGACUUCUGAUCCAUUUUGGAGUUCUGAAGUCCAGAACUGUACAACAAUAAAUUUGUGGUUUUUAAAGAACUAGGGGCUGGCCCCAUGGCUGAGUGGUUAAGUUCGUGCACCCCGCUGCAGGCGGCCCAGUGUUUCGUUGGUUUGAAUCCUGGGCACAGACAUGGCACUGCUCAUCAAACCACGCUGAGGCAGCGUCCCACAUGCCACAACUAGAAGGACCCACAACGAAGAAUAUACAACUAUGUACCGGGGGGCUUUGGGGAGAAAAAGGAAAAAAUAAAAUCUUUAAAAAAUAAAAAAAGAGGGGUUGGCCCCGUGGCUAAGUGGUUAAGUUCACGCGCUCCGCUGCAGGUGGCCCAGUGUUUUGUUGGUUCGAAUCCUGGGCGCGGACAUGGCACUGCUCAUCAAACCACGUUGAGGCAGCGUCCCACAUGCCACAACUAGAAGGACCCACAACGAAGAAUAUACAACUAUGUACCGGGGGGCUUUGGGGAGAAAAAGGAAAAAAUAAAAAUCUUAAAAAAAAGAAUAAAUAAAAAUAAAGUCAGAGUUUAAAAAAAAAAAAGAACUAAACUUGUGAUUAUUUGUUAUGGCAGCAAUAGGGAACUAAUACAACGAAUUUUCUAGCACACAGUGUACUUAAGUAUUAUGAUACUUUGUAUCAAAAAUGGCUAUAACAAUAUCUCCGGUCUCAUAUGCUCUUCCAGAAUUUUGACACUUCUCCUAUCAGGAGGUGGGGUCUAUUCUCCCUCCCUUAAGCCUGGGUGGGCCUUUGUGACUGCUUUAGGGAAAGAAAUGAUAUGACCUCCAAUGCUGGGUCAUAAAAAGUGAUACGUCUUCUGCCCUGGCUCGCUGUUUCUCUUGGGCAAGUGUUUUGGGAGCCCUGAGCCAACAUGUAGGGAAUGUACCUACCCUGGAGCCACCAUGCUGGAGAGAGCACACAGAGAUGGAGAAAAGCCCAAGGAGGCCCAGCUGUGUGAGCUCCACCUGUUUGGGUCUCCCCAGCCCAGAUGCCAGACAAGUGAGCAAGCCUUCAUCCCCCAGCCUUCAAGCUAUGUCAGUUGUUGCUGAAUGGGGCAGAAACGAGCUGUCCCCACUGAGCACUGUCCUGAUGGCACACUGGUGAGCAAUUCCAGUGCUGUAGUUUGAAGCCACAAAGCUUUGGACACAGUGAUGGACAGCCAGAACAAGGGCCAACAGUCCAUCCACAGUGGUCCAUCCACAUCACCCAAGGUGAGGCUCAGGGGAACAAAUUCAACCCCCUAAAGCCUAAGAGCUUCCAGUCAAUUCUUUAGUGCUCCACUCUUAAAUAUCAACAGAGGAACCAAGGUUGCCAGACAUCCACAUGAAGGAGAGAGAUCAAAGAAAAUAAACAAGAGAAAACAACUUGAAAAGACAGUGACUAUGCAGAGGAAGAAGACUUUUGAAGAAACAAACCAAAAAGUUCCCCUAAAACUCUAGUAUUGAUAUUUCUAGAGUGAUAAUAGAAGAUACUGCAUCCUUGACAUAAGAACAAGAUGCUAUAAAAAGGGAACACUCCGUAAAAACAACAAAAGAAGAGAACACAGAAUAAAAACGAAAAUAAAAAGCUUUACUAAAAGAUUGGAGGAUAAAGAAAUGACCCAGAAAGCAAGACAAAAAACACAGAAAUGGAAAAUAGAGGAAAAGAGGGCAGUGAGUAAGAAAAUAAGGACUGGUCCAGCGGAUCCAAAAUAUGAACAAAAAGAAUUCUAGGAAUGGAGAAUAGAGAAAAUGAAGAGGAGUAAAUUGUCAAUGAAAUAAUUCAAGAAAAGUCCCAGAAGUGAAAGAAAUGAAUUUCUACACUGAAGCAGCCCACCAGGGGCCCAGCACAAUGGAACAUGGAGACGCAACAUGACGAAUGACUGUCCAGUCUCAGAACAGAUGGGCUGAAGAGAACGUGCCACAACUUCCAGGGGAAAUGGGUCAUGUUCAAAGAAUCGGGCUCAGAAUUGUUUUGGAUUUCUCAACAGAAACGCUGGAGAGCUAGAGCUUUAGCCAUAGAGCAAAGCUUUCAAAACUGUGAAGGAAAAGGAUUUCCGAUAUUUCUUACUUUUGCUGCAUAACAAAUUACUCCAAAACUUAAUGGUUUCAAACAACACAAUGUUAUCUCACAGUUUCUGAGGGUUAGGAAUUCAGGAGCAGCUUAGCUGGGCGUUCUGGCUCGGCAUCUCUCAGGUUGUGUCCAGCUGUGGGACAGAGUCAUGGUCAUCUCAAGGCUCAGCGGGAGCUGGAGAAUUGACUUCCGAGCUGACUCAUGUGGUUGUCGGCACCAGCCAGCAGUUCCUUGCCGCAAAGACCUCUCCAUGGGGCUGCUCAUGACACGGCUUCCCCCAGAGUGAGUGAUCCAACAGAUCUGGAAGGCCCAAGAUACUCUGUUAUAAUCUAAUUGUGCAAGUGGUAUUUCCAUCGCUUCUGCCAUAUCCUGUUACUUCAGAUCGCUGUUAGAAUCUAAUCUCGGAAGUGAUUUUCCAUCACUUCUGCCACAUCCCUGACUUCAAACCAGCUCUGCUGAACCACAGUUAGUCACACGGGCCAGCAGUGUGGGAGGGUAUUACACAAGGGCCUGAACACCAAAACGUAGGGAUCACCGGGGCCAUCUCAGAGGCUGCCCACCACACCACCAAGAAUUCUGUAGGCAGCUAAAAGCAUCAGUCAAGUGUGAGGAUAUACUAAAUGUAUUUUAAGACAUUCAAAGUCUCAAAACCUUUCCUUCUUAAACACCCUUUCUCAGAAGGCUACUUGAGGACAGGCUCCACCAAAACAAAGGAGUAAACCUAGAAACAAAAGAGCUAGCCCAGGAGAGAGACGGAGGGACUCCCCAGGAUGAGGAAGGGAGAUAGCAGGGUGGCAGCUGCUUUGGGCACAUAGCAGGUGCGCCCAAUAGGGUUUUUGAACUGAGCUCAAGUGCUUGUUAGCAGAAUUUCUUCUCCUUCUUCAGUAUCAGUCAGUCAGUGGUAACAAGGUGCCUGCCCGUCACUUCUAAUCCACAGCUUUAAAUAAGUGAAAGACAGGGACACUAGAAGAGCAGGUUGUUACAUAGUCUGUGAGUCUAGGUUCUGAGGAGGGCCCAAAUACUCACAGGAGUGGUCUGUUCAAGUCCACGUCACUGACUCAGUGACGUCCCACUUUUGUAUCCACUUUGAGCUCUGAGUACACUCGGUCUAACCGAAGCCGCCAGCAUACAGGCAGACUCGGACCCCUUUUGUGGAUCUGGGGCUUUCAGUUUCCAAAGCCCCUUCUCAGCACAUUGUCGUUCAUCCUCAGCAUCACUGUGAGGUUGAAGCGGCCACUUACUGCAGAGCCAGCCUGCAGCCUCCUGCUCCCACCCCGUCCGUCCGUAGCCUGGGGCUGACUCCCUGAGCCAAUCCUGGGGCUGCAGAUUCCUGCAAAGGGGAGGUUUGGGGUGGGUGGGUCUUCAGGCCCUGUCCUGCCUGAUGCAAGCACACCGAAAUGGCUGCUCCCCCGCCCCCAUACCGCCUCUGCAGAGAGGCUGCCCUGCCUGACAGUUCCCAGGGAAGAGUUAAUUUCCCCGAGUUCCUUCCUCCUUUCAAAUUAAUCCCUUUUAAUUCCUUUCGAAUUGUGUGAAGUGAGUAAAAAUCUCAGGCAUGUCAGAGAGGUGACUGUUUUUUUUUUUUAACAGUUCAACUUACCUCUCUCUUUAAGCCCCAGUUAUUCUAAAUAGUAGACAUUUCAUCUCUGUCAAUCCAGAAUUUACUAAUUCAGCACAGGGUUUCCUUCACCGCCCCGCAAAGCUGCAAUGGAGCAGAGCAUCUGGUCCUGCUUGGUGUCAUCUUUCCGGGCAGACUUCCAUUGUGCUGCCUUCAUCUUUGCUCUGGUCCCAGACUUCAGAACAGGCCAGUUCUGCAACCAGUAGAGUCGCAGUGACCCUAUUCUUGUCUGCAUGGGAGAAUGUCCUGCUGCAGCCUGUGACAUGCUGGAGUAUUGGGGGAUUUGGGAAGCCACCUCAUUCUGUGUCUGCCGCCCACAGCCACGUCACCUCUGCAGCCCCUGCAUUUUGCCGAGUGUAGAUGUCCCUUCCCAGUCCUGCUACCUAUCCAGGCCCCACUCGGGAAGUGAGGCAUGGGGACACAGUCAUCUGGGGAAUUCACGGUCAGCCUCAUAUCUGAGGUAAGCCUGGGGGACAAGGCCAAGAAAUGGGACAACAUCCGGUUUCCCGUUAUCUGAAGGCUUGGUGCUUGUGUGGUGCAGGGAUGGGGAGGGGGCAGGGACGACAGAAUGUAAAGAUAUUCCCAAAGCUAUUCUGUUCCUUCAUUCAUUCCGCAUUUAUGGUGCACCUGCCAGAUGUUCCUUUGCUAGAAAUGCCAAGAUGAAACGUGGACCCUCUCCUUGGGGGCUCAAGGAGGAAGCAGGUAGCUUAUAAAUCAAUAAUUCCAGUACCAGAAGGUGAGGGUAGCAUGGAUAUAAGAAAAUAAAGGGCUUAUAUCCCUAACAUACAACAGGCUUCUACAGAUUGAUUAAAAAAAUUCAAACACAGUGUUCUAAUUUCUCAUUGCUGCUCUAACAAAUUAUCACAAACUUAGUGGCUUCAAAGAACAUAAGCUUAUCGUCUUACAGUUCUGAAGGUCAGAAGUCCAAAAUGAGUAUCAUUGGGCCAACAUCAAAGUGUUGACUGGGCUGGCUCCUUCUAAAUGCUCCAGGGGAAAGCCGUGUCCUUGCCUUUUCCAGCUUCUAGAGGCUGCCUGUAUUCCUUGGCCCUUGGCCUCUUCCUCCUUCCUCAAAGGCAGCAAUGCCAGGCUGAGUCCUUCUCACGCUGCCAUCUCUGGGUCUCUCUUUUCUUCUCCCCUUUUCCACUUACUAGGACCCUCGUGAUGACCUUUGCUUCACCUGGAUAACCCGGGAUGAUCUCCCCAUCUCAAGGUCAGCUGACCAGCAAACUCAGUUCCAUCUGCAACCUUAGUUCCACUUUGCCGUGUAAAGUGACAUACUCACAGGUUCCGGGGAUCAGGACGUGGACUGUUUAGGUGGGUCGUUAUUCUGCCUGCCACACAUGCCAAUAGAAAAAUGGGAAAAUGUUAGGAACAAGUAACUCACAGGAAAUGUGCAAAUGGCACAUGACUCUAUGAAAAGAUGGUCACCUUCCCCAGUAGUCAGGAAAACGAAAGCUAGAAUUGCAAUGAGAUCCCGUGUUCACCCUCCAGAUGGCAAAUAUUAAACAGGGUGACACUGUCCAGGGCUGAACAGGAUGUGAGAACGGGCACUCUUAUGUCCUGCCCGGAGGAGGGCAACAGCUACAUUUUGGGGAAGGGAAUCUGACUGUCUAUCAGAAUUGAGACGCACUUACAUUUUGACUCUGCAAUCCACUUACAGGAAUCUGUAUCCUUCAAAAAUUAACAAACUGUCACUUUAUUCAAAAACCGUCAGUGUGUCAGGCACUGAGGACGUGGCCAUGAACAGGACAGACAAGGCCCCCGCUCUCAUGGUGCUGACGUUCUUGUGGGAGAAGCAGACCACAAAUAAAGAAAGAAAGAAAGAGACUCGAAGUGUGCUGGUGGGGAUGAAGGCUGUGUGUUAGUUUCCUAGGGCUGUUAUAAUAAAUUACCACAAACUGGGGGGCUUAAAAUGACAGUGAUAUAUUCCCCCCCAAUUCUGGCAGCCAGAAGUCCAAACUCAAGGUUUGGGCAGGGCCAGUUCCUUCUGGAGGCUGAGGGAGAAUCUGUUUGUUGCUUCUCUCCUCGCUUCUGGUGGCUGCCAGCAUUCCUUGGCGUCUCUUGGCUUGUAGACGUGUCACUCCAAUUUGUCUCACCUGGCCUUCUCCUCUCUGUGUCUCUCUGUCCAGAUGUCCCUCCUCUUAUACGGAUGUCGGCAACUGGAUUAAGGUUCAUCCUAGUCCAGUAUGACUUCAUCUUAACUUGACUACCUCCGCAAAGACUACUUCCAAAUAAGGUCACAUCCCCAGGUAGUGGGAGUUAAGAAAUCAACAUAUCUUUUUAGAGGACACAAUUCAACCCCCAACAGGCUGUGCAGAGACUUGACAUGAGAUGAUGUUAGAGAGUGAGGGUGCCCACUUAAACUGGCUGAGCAGGAGGGCCCCUCAGAGGAGGUGACCCGCAGCCUGAGCUCUGAACGGUGGGUGGGGAAGGAGUCCUUGCAGAUCCAGGAAGAGCGUUCCAGGGGCGGGACCAGCUGUGCGGUCUCAAGGCUGAUUGGCUUUGAUGAGUUCAAGGCCCUGCAACCAGGCCAGCGUAACUGGAGCUAAUGGGCACGGGAGGGUGCUCCAAAGUGAGCUCAGAGAGGGCAGCGGGGCCAGGUCAUGCUGGAAACCCAGGGUAAGGAGUGCGUGUUUAUCUUGGAGGAGGCCAGUGACAUGAUCUGACCUGUGUAUUAAAAACUGCGGUAAGGGAGAAUGUGUGUACGCGGGUGUCUGUCGCAUCACUGUUUGCAAAAAAAACCUGUAAAUGACCUGCAUGUGCACUAACAGGGGCUAGUUGGAUGAACUAUUAUAUCUGUUCCAUGGGUUAUGAGUUUGAGCUAUCCGUGUUCCCCUGGAAAGAGGUUCUUGGUGAUGAGAUGAAAGAGUAAGUUGUGCAGUAAGGUGUCCAACACAUCUGGGUGUGUGUCUCCUUAAAGCAAUAAAGCCACCUGCGGGCUUGACUACGAUCAGGCCACGGAGACGCGGGCUGUCUCCAACCAAACCCUUGCCAGCCAGUGGGUCUCCAGAAGGGCUCUCGUUUAUAAUGCUGGCCCUGAUCGUAACAGUCUUCUUCCAGUGUACACUCUCAUUUAUGAGGGCCUCUCCUCCCCGGAGCAUGUGCAGAAGCAUACAACAUUGGAGGAUGAAUGACUACAGAUCUAGUCUAGCUCCCACUUUACAGAUAGAGGAGCCGAGGCCCAGAGAGGCGAACCAUUGCUCAACAAGCCAGUGUCAGGGGUGGGGCCCACAUCCAGAUCAUGUCUUGAAUUGAUCCCUCUGGCCCUGCUGGAAUGCCACCCCUUGUAACAUGGGUUGUCCAAGUCCCUGUCCUGUGGAUGUACAGACCGCAUCCCACGCAUUCACACACAGCAUCAGCAGAGCCCAGCCUCAGGGGCCGUGACCUACCUGGACCACGCUCUGGUUCCCGUCACUGGAAGCCCGAUGCCCAGGUGCCCAUGCACAAGAACUCCUGCUGUUAUGGGAAGUUGGGUCACUUGUUUGUUUCGUACAUCUCCUUCCAUCCUGAGGCUGCUCUGUGACAAGCUCCUGUCCUGUGCAAUCCCCUCCUACUGGUCCCCAUUGCUCUCCAGGUUCAGACAGUGUGUUUCAACGUCCACACAGGUGUGAGCCAGGUGCUACUUUGGACGGGGAUGGAGGAGGUCCCCAUGCCCACCUGGCUUAGGGAGACAAGGAAGCCAGGAGACUCAGACGUUGGGAGGGUUUCUGUACAAAAGACUGAAUCAAAUAAUUUCCAGUUUACUCUGAACGAAUUCUCCUUCUCAGACCAUCCCAAAGACUGCUUCCUCCUGGCAGUCCUCUCCGCUCCCAGAGCCGGAGGCACCGUAUUCCGUGGCCUCCUGCGCAUCGGGGCCUGCCCUCCUUUCCUUUCAGACGCUGUAUGCUCAAAAAAAUCUGUGUUGAUUUCUUGGCCCAGAAAGUGAAAUGAAUCUGAACCUCUGUUCUCUGAGAGGUCCAGGAUCCAGUCCCUAAUAAGGACUCAGAUUUCUCUGGAUUUCCCCAUUUUCAAGUCGAGUGCUGUUUCCCCAUGUUCAAGUUGCUUAUUGGUGGUAAAAAUCAGAGGUCUUCUCAGGACACCUAAAGGACACAGGUGGCAGGCCGGGGAGAGUUAUUUGUGUCUGCCCAUAGCAGAAUGGAUGCGACCAUAGCAGUGUGGUGUACCAUGCAGUAAUCUACAGCACUGAGAACCGGUGAUCUAAACUACAGGCAACAUGUGAUUCAAUCUCAAAAACUGUUACAUUAAAUGGGAGAAGCUGAACUCAAAAGAACACGUAGGUAUGUUCCAUUUACGUCAAGUUUAAAAGCUGGCAAAAUUAAACCAUAGUCUUUAAGGUCACAUGCUUAGCUGGCUGUAUAAGAUUAUGAAGAAAAGCCAUGAGUCCUGAUUCUGGCCAACUUUGGGGGGAAGGAGGUGGAGAGAGAAAGAGCUUUAGAAGAGCUGUAAUCCCGAUUCUCGAACUGGCCUAUACUUUAGCUCACUGAUAGUUUGUUAAGCUCUAUGGUUAUUUUUUUAUGUGUAUUUCUCUAUAUAUUUCAAAAUACAAAAGGCUAAAAAAAUAAAGUCCAGGGGCCGGCCCCAUGGCCAAGUGGUUAAGGUUACAUGCUUUGCUUUGACAGCCCAGGGUUUGCCAGUUCGGAUCCUGGGCAUGGACCUACAUGCCACUCAUCAAGCCAUGCUGUGGUGGCAUCCCAAACAGAAAAGCUAGAAUGACUUGCAACUAGGAUAUACAAUUAUGCACUGGGGCUUUGGGGAGGAAAAAAAAAAGAGGAAGAUUGGCAACAGAUGUUAACUCAGGGACAAUCUUCCUCACCAAAAAAAUGAAAAAAAAUAAAGUCCAUAAAUAAAAGAAGCAUAGGAUUUAGUGGAAGCAUUUGUGGGGACUGAUACUGGGACCCUCUGGGGGGAUUUUAGGGUGGUUGGUCUCUCUCUUUCUCCUCCUCGCCUUCCUUCCUGCCUCCUUCAGCACCUCUUCGUCUUCCACUCUCUUUUCUACCAUAGAAAGCCUCUGCAAGCCCCCCUGCCCCCGCACUCAGCCCUUUGCUGCACAGGCAGCCACUCCUUUCAUGUCCUCUGAGACCUUGAAAAUUCUUUCCAAGUUCAGAUCCAUGGAAAAGAGCAUCUAAUUGGCCACUGUUGGGUACCGGCCACCUUUGGACCAGCUGCCUGGGUCAGGCCCUCCCUGGUCCCUUCAACUCUGGCCCACGGGCCAGGGAAUGUGGGUGAGGAGGACCAGCCUCUCCUCAAGCCCUGGAGGCUUUGGUAGAGGGACUGAGGGUGGCCAGUUUCUCUGAGAGGGCCGAGCAGACAGGACAGUCGCUCCCAACACAAGGACAGGAGGUGGAGCUGGGCGCUCCCAACCUGGACAGGUGGGCAGAGAGAAGCCAAUUAUCUCAGGCCGGCAGGAACCAGAGGCCCAACUAGACGGGAGAACCCGGGACCCCGGGCCUCCCGGCUCUCUGUGCCAGCUUUGAGCUGCCCAGGGCAGCGGAGCCCCCAGACUGUUUUUUCCCACCAUCAUGUGGAUCCGGUUCCCAGUCCAGGUCUACACGCACAGCUGAAGCCAGGUCCCUCCGCUGUUUGUGUGAGCAGCUGUCUCCAGCAGCCCGGCCCCCAGCCCCUUCCUGGGGGAAGAUGCCCACAGGAAUUGGCUCACAUAAUUACAGAAGCCAAGAAGUCCCAUGAUCUGCCGUCUACAAGGUGAAGAACCUGGAAAGCCAGUGGUGUCGUUCAGGCCAAGCUGGAAGGCUGAGACCCAGGGGAGCGAUGGUGUAACUGCCCGUCUGCAGCUGAAGGCCUGAGAACCCGGCCGGGGGUGUGGGCUGCUGCUGUAAGUCCAGAGGCCGAUGAGCAGAGAGCCAGGAGCUCUGAUGUCGGAGGGCAGGAGAAGACGGGUGUCCCAGCUCGAGCAGAAAGAGCAAGUCCUCCCUUCCUCGCCUUCUUGUGCUGUUCAGGCCCUCACUGGAUAGAUGAUGCCACCCACUUUGGUGGGGGUGAUCUUUAGUCAGUCUACCAGUUCAAAUGCUAAUCUCUUCUGGAAACAGCCUCAUAGGCACACCCAGAAGCAAUAUUUUAACAGCUAUCAGGGCAUCCCUGGACCUGUCAAGGAGACAUGUGAGAUCAACCAUCACAAGGCGCAACCCGUUUCCUCCCACCAAAUCCACAACCCUCGAUUCUUCGCCCCUCCUCCUGGCCCGGCCCUCUCCCGUCUGACUGGGGUGAGCAGAGGGUGGCGCCUGGCGGGCCCAGGGCUCGACCCCUCCGUUAACACUGGCACUGGGAGUUUGGCCGCAGUUGUGCGCCGCUCUCUUUAACUUGUGGGGUAUAAGCACCUUCUCCCGUUCACGUGUGGAUCCUCACCAAUGCCUGAGCAACAGGAAAAGUCCCCUCCGACAUAGUAGUCACCAAGGUUUGCUGAGCCGCCAAGCAGCAAGCUGCUGCAGAAAGUACCAGGGGUAGUUGUGUAUUAUACCAGGAGAAGCUAACUUUUCUAAAAACUUUCACAAACCCUUUCUCUUUUGCUCUUCCUAAUAGCCUGGUAAGAUCAAGUAUAAGAAGUACCAUUAGUCCUUGGGUAGAGUUAAGCAGUUAAUUAGCUUGUCUGAGCUGGGGUUCCCCCAUCUGUAAUGUCAGGGAUAAGAGAAUCUACCUCACAGGGAUCUUGAGAGAAUUAAAUUUUAAGAGACGUGCAAAGUGCUAGCAUGGAGUUCUCAGAAUGCACCCUGGAGACAGCACCUGGGCAGGGCAGACCUGGGUAAGAGGCUGGACGGAGAAACAGGAGGGCAGGAAGGGAGGCGAGGUGGCAGAGCUUGGGCUCUGAGAUCAGGUGACAGGGACUCAGGUCCCACGCUGUCACUUGUUAGCUGUGUGAUCCUGGGCAAGUCACUUAAAUCCCUUCCUCAUUAGUUUCCACUUCUGCCAAGUGGGCAGAACAGGAGCACUUCCCUCAACCCCGCACCCGCUUCGGUUUACCUGUCAUUCAACGACAGCGCCCUCCACCGGUUGCUCCUGACGCUUCCUGAGAGUCAUCCCUGAAACCUCCUCUUCCUCAUGCGCCACAUCCCAUCUAUCAGCAGGUUUUAUCGAUUCCAUUUCUAAGCAUCUUUCAAACUGAUUGACUUUAGAGCAGGUGGGGUUUACCAAGACAGGGGACCGUUCCGGAGAUGCUGGAACCAAUGCACAGCCUGGGCAGCUAGAUGCAAUCCUCAUCUUCCUUUGGCUGGUUGAUGGAAAUCUGGACUCAGUGGUGGCCCACACUGAAACCCCAGAAAUUCCUUGUAAAACUAGUUUCAAAGAGAAUUUAUUAAGCAUGAAUCUUCCCUAAUUUUAUUCCCCAAGAGGGCACCACUUUCACCAGAACACCUCUGGGAGGGGAGUGCUAGCAUCUUUGGCAAGUGCUGAGAUGGCUGCUCUCUGAAAGCCAGAGAUGCAGGUCAGCGAUGGUGUGGUUUCAAGAUGGAGGAUGCGGAGGGGCAGAGGCCAGGCAACGGCACUUGACCACCAGAGGCACUAGGUGUGGUGACCAUUAGAGAAAGUUGGGCUGGAGUGAUGACAACCUGACCCACAGGGAUCUUGGUUACGGCUCUUUGACUUUAGAGGCCUUAGGACUGAAAUAGUUCAGUCUACUAAGAUCCUCUUGGACCUGGCUUGAGUCAUCAUGAGAGCUGCAGCCUCUUAACCACGUCCCUAGACCACAUCCCUAGAUGUGAUUCAAUUCACAGACCCAGAACCCGAGGAAUGAAUCCAUUAGCCUUAAAGCAGGACUUCGUAGUAAUAUGACUCUUCCUCCUGGCCUGUCACAAAGUGACCUGGGACAUCUGCUGGGUAAUUCUGCAUUGGAGAAAGGACCAUUGAACGUUGGCUCUGAGCUGAAACUGACUCCUGGAAACUCAAAACGCCACUGUGGUCUCCCAGCUGGGGGAUUUUGAGGCUAAGGGGAUAAUUGGAUUUCUGACCCAAAACCACCUCAGUGAAGGCAAUGGGAGCCAGACCACAUCCCAUAUUUCUUUGCCAAGAUUUUGAGUGGAGUGUUUGAUUGGACAUGCUUGGAAAUUGACAGAAUCUCCACACCGACUCCUUGGUUUGUGGAAUAAUGGCUAAUGUAGGGAAGGGCCAAAUGGAAGCCUCUGGAAUUCCACCUCCCAAUCAAAGUGAUUAGCCCGUAAAGUUCCACAUCCUAGGGGAAUGUCAGAUAUUAGUGCCAACAUCGAACAUUUGCAAAACUGCAGCAAUGGUGAUCCCUGUUAUGCUCUUAGAGAGCUUGCCUGCUUAGUUGGUGCAGAAGACAGAUCAAUCUUGGAGAAUAACUACAGAUCUUUGUAAGCUUAUUCAAGUGCUGACUCCAAUUUUAGCUGUUAUCUUAGAUGAAUUGAUAAAUUUACCCAGCCCAAGGUAUCACAGCUGGUAAAUCUUUGCUUUUUUUAAAUCCCUAUGAGCAUAAAGGCAUCAGGAAUUCAAUAGUUAGAUCUCACCUGAAAAGGAUAGCAGUCAUCUUCAUGAUGUGUUCUCCGGGCGACAUCAGUCUUCUGGCUCUGUGGCACAAUUCACCCCCACUGGUCCAUCACCCUACAUGCUAUAAUCCCAGUCUCCUACAUGGCUGACAACAAGCUCACAGGUCAUGGAGAGUAGAAGGUAACAGGUACUUAAACGUUUUUGUAAGACAUCUAUGCGCUACAGGACAGACAAUAAAUCCCCCAAAAUACAGGGACUUGGCCACCUCGCUGACAUUUUGAGAAGCUGGUGUCUGGGACAUAUUGGGAUAUUCCCUCCAAAGUGAAGGAGAAAUCGACUCACUGUGUCCCCUGCUACAAAGAAGGAGGUGUGAUGCUUUGUGAACUGCUUUGGACUUUGGAAGGAACGUGGAAAGAACCAAACAUCACAUUUGGUUGUGCUCUUCUGAUUCAUUUACUGAGUGAGCCACAAGACUCGCAGUUCUGGGCAGGGCUCAGAGCAAGAGGAGGCUCUUCAGCUGGGACAGACUAUAACCGAGGCAGCCCUGCUCUUUGGGCCUUAUAACCCAACAGGGCCAAGGGUACUAAGUUUCUUUAGUAGAUCAUUGAUGGGAAAAUCAGCACAAACACUAACAUUUUGGAGCAAAGCUAAGAUCUCUUCAGCAAGCAAAUAGUCUCCUUUUGACAAGCAGCGCUUGGCAGUAUUCUGGGCCUGGUAGAAAACCAGUACACCUGACCAGAGGAUGUCAGAUGGUCCUGCAACUUGUGCUUUCCCCUGUUAGCAGGGUGUUCUCUGCCCCACCAAACCAUAAAACUGAGCACGGCCUGCAACAUUCCAUCACCACCUCAAAGGGUCAUGGGCUCACACAGUCCUGAAGAUCAGUGGUAUGCCUAGCGUAUUUGGUACCCAGAGUCGGGGGUGUAUUGGUAAAUAUUUAGCAACCAACUCUUUUUGGGGUGAGAGCCCUGGUUUGCACAGUUUGUAUAUUUCCGUGGUGUAGAUGCUACCACUGUGGCUGAUUGCAGGCUACCAACAGGACAUCGCUGAACACAGUCAGAAAAGAUUUCACAACUGGUUCUCAGCAGCCAGUGCAAGCUGGCUCCAGCACGCCACCACCCAGAGUGGGCCAUUUUCCAAAUCCCCUUUCUCUAUGCAGUAAGAUUAUUUUCAGAAAACGAUCAUGAGAUGCAAUGAAUAAUAACUUCAGAAAAAGCACAGACAGCGGAAAUUUUCUUUUAUUGUAAUCAUGCUGGUAAACAUUUUUUAAAUAAAAAAGAAAAUUAAUAUCCAGUAAAAAAGAGGAGAAAAGGAUUGGCCAUAUGGUUUCUGGGCUGGCAUUUAAGGAGCUUAGAAGUCCCCACUCCAUCCUAACGAGUAAAAAGCUGAACGAACUGAAAAGCCAACAGCUUUCUUACAUCUCUCAGAGAAGUGAGGUCACAGGGCAAACGCUGCCCCCCAAAUUGGAGAGACUGACAGGCACACAGAAUGACAGCGUACCUGAGCAGAGACCCGGGAGCUGCAUUUUUUUUUUCCAAAAAAGGGAAAAGAAUUUUACCUAAAUAUUGUUCUGUCCCAGUAAUGAAGAACAUGACAGUUUCUGGUUUCCAGCCUUGGCUUCUGCAAGUGUGUCAGUGACUUCAUCAGAAUUGAACUUGUUUGAAUGCUGCUCUUCAGUGGACCGUACAGCCAGAUUCGACAAUCCAUCUUUGUUCAAUGGUUGAUCAAAGAACGCUUUUUGUUAAUCUUAAUUCCAAAAACUUUCUUACAUGUUAAGUAACAUGAACGAACUGUUCUGUAAAUACAAUUGUGUUGGAACACAGCCACUCACAUUUGUUUACAUCUUAUUUAUGGAGGCUUUUUUUUGCAGCCACAGCAAGCUGGGUAGUUGUCACAGACCAUGUUGUUUACGAGCCUAAAAUACUGAUCAGGCCCUUUAAGAAAAAGUUUGCCAGCCCCGACCUAAAGGAUUAAAAAUAAAAUGUAAUUUGUAUUUAAAGUGUACAAAAUUUGAAUAUAUUUUCAUCAAAAAUCCUAAACUAUG
rnacentral:lncRNA from 1 species